rnacentral:rRNA from 1 species
GAUGAACGCUGGCGGCGUGCUUAACACAUGCAAGUCGAACGGAAAGGCUCCUGCUUGCAGGGGUACUCGAGUGGCGAACGGGUGAGUAACACGUGGGUGAUCUGCCCUGCACUUCGGGAUAAGCCUGGGAAACUGGGUCUAAUACCGGAUAGGACGAUGGUUUGGAUGCCAUUGUGGAAAGUUUUUUCGGUGUGGGAUGAGCUCGCGGCCUAUCAGCUUGUUGGUGGGGUAAUAGCCUACCAAGGCGUCGACGGGUAGCCGGCCUGAGAGGGUGUACGGCCACAUUGGGACUGAGAUACGGCCCAGACUCCUACGGGAGGCAGCAGUGGGGAAUAUUGCACAAUGGGCGCAAGCCUGAUGCAGCGACGCCGCGUGGGGGAUGACGGCCUUCGGGUUGUAAACUCCUUUCGCUAGGGACGAAGCGCAAGUGACGGUACCUGGAGAAGAAGCACCGGCUAACUACGUG